AGAUAAUUCAAUACAAGAAAAACGAAAUGACAAGAGAAAGAAAGAAGAGAAGAGAAGAGAAACUUAAGGUAGAAAGAAGGAAAGAGCUACGGUUUUGGGAGGAGAAAAAGCCCAAAACGUUACCAAACAGCCAAUAAGUUUCAGCUGCGCUAAAGGAAAUUCCGAGGCAAGUUUUGGCGAGUUUUGGUGAAUUUCGGGAAAGGUUCAAGAGACGACGAGGCGAGCAUAGUUAAGAGUAAUCCGUAAGAGGUACAGACGAUUGGUUUGCUGAUCCGCUCGCUUAGGACAUCCACCAUGUUGGUCGACAGUGCUCCUUUGUUCGGAGUCCUAUUUUGGAACCGACGUCACUCCUCGACCCCCUCCACGUGGCUAGCUCAAGUUAGUUGAAGAGUUCUUGUGGUGAGUUCCCAUGUUUCGGGAACGACAUCCUUUUUAUUCUAAGCUUAUGUUAUGUAGAAUAGUAAGACUUUUAUUAAGAUAUUUCUUGACACUUAUAUUGAGGGUGAGCUAGGGACAUGUCUUAGCCCCCGCCAAGUCUAUUAGUAGAGGUAUGUUUGGACACAAAUAGAAAAAUGUUUUUUAUUUUCACUUA